ensembl:lncRNA
UGACUGUGGGGGCCAGUACAGUGAACUCAUUGUCAUGUUCAAGAAACCAAUUUGAAAUGAUUCGAGCUUUGUGACAUGGUGCAUUAUCCUGCUGGAAGUAGCCAUCAGAGGAUGGGUACAUGGUGGUCAUAAAGGGAUGGACAUGGUCAGAAACAAUGCUCAGGUAGGCCGUGGCAUUUAAACGAUGUCCAAUUGGCAGUAAGGGGCCUAAAGUCUGCCAAGAAAAGCCCCACACCAUUACACCACCACCAGCACAGUGGUAACAAGGCAUGAUGGAUCCAUGUUCUCAUUCUGUUUACGCCAAAUUCUGACUCUACCAUCUGAAUGUCUCAACAGAAAUCGAGACUCAUCAGACCAGGCAACAUUCUUACAGUCUUCAACUGUCCAAUUUUGGUGAGCUUGUGCAAACUGUAGCCUCUUUUUCCUAUUUGUAGUGGAGAUGGUACCCGGUAGGGUCUUCUGCUGUUGUAGCCCAUCCGCCUCAAGGUUGUGCGUGUUGUGGCUUCACAAAUGCUUUGCUGCAUACCUCGGUUGUAACGAGUGGUUAUUUCAGUCAAAGUUGCUCUUCUAUCAGCUUGAAUCAGUCGGCCCAUUCUCCUCUGACUUCUAGCAUCAACAAGGCAUUUUCGCCCACAGGACUGCCGCAUACUGGAUGUUUUUCCCUUUUCACACCAUUCUUUGUAAACCCUAGAAAUGGUUGUGCGUGAAAAUCCCAGUAACUGAGCAGAUUGUGAAAUACUCAGACCAGCCCGUCUGGCACCAACAACCAUGCCACGCUCAAAACUGCUUAAAUCACCUUCCUUUCCCAUUCUGACAUUCAGUUUGGAGUUCAGGAGAUUGUCUUGACCAGGACCACACCCCUAAAUGCAUUGAAGCAACUGCCAUGUGAUUAGUUGAUUAGAUAAUUGCAUUAAUGAGAAAUUGAACAGGUGUUCCUAAUAAUCCUUUAGGUGAGUCUAUUUAUAUAUCUAAUGGCUUAAGAUUAUUCUUAAACUUUCUUAUCCGGUGCAGCCAGAAGAGGACUGGCCCCUCAGAGUCUGGUUCCUCUCUAGGUUUCUUCCAAGGUUUUUGACCCUACUUGGGAGUUUUUCCUAGCCACUGAGCACAAUGUAUUGUUAUUGCUUGCUCUUUGGGGUUUCUAUGCUGGGUAUCUGUGCAUUUUGUGAUAACAGACAAUAUAAAAAUGGCUUUAUAAAAUAAAGUUUGUUGCUUGUUUGCAUGCAAAGUUGUUUUUCCUUCAUUCAAAAU